UAGUGUUCCAGCCCUGUGACUGGUCGAAACUAGGGCUUGUUGAUACUGUAUAAAAGAUGUUUACCGGUUAGUCAGGUAACCCAGGCCCCGCUCAGAGGAGGCCAGGGGAUGACUACUUAGAGAGCUAAAGAUGAGCACAGUAAACUGUAAUCAGCUCCAGAACUGCAACAUCCCCACCUCCCCAGAGUCAGCCUUGGAGAGAGGAGCUCCGGUUUGCGGGUGGAGCCUCUUUCUGGGAACUUCCCUCGCAGCUGUGCAGGACGGGUGCGCCUGGAGUAGAAUCGGGCGCGCCUGGAGUAGAACCGGAGCAUGGUGUGGUGUACUGACUAGCCAGAGGGAAACCGAGAGUGAGCGGCAAGCAACAGGACCCACGUGACAUGGCAGAAGGAGCGUGGGAGAAAUGCAGCUUGCUCAGCAAUGAAGAUGAGCCACCGUGAAGUCAAUACCAACGGAAUUUCACAACUGCGAAAUGAAGAGGCCACAGCAGUUCGCAGAGCGUCCUGAUCCUGCGAAAAGAGCCAAGGCCACGUACACACCCCAGCAAGGAGCGGUCUGCUCUGACAUCUCCGCAGACACAGACAGGCUAAGGGAGGGCCAGAGAGGACCUAGCAGGCAGAGUGCUUGCUGCCAAUCUCCAGAACCUACAUGGAAGAAAGAAAGAACUGACUUCUGCAAGUUGACUCAAACCGCCACAUAAACCUCCACUGUACACAAUGGGAACUCACCAAGGCCAGCUGGCCUGGGUCUGAAAAAGCCUGGGAUAAAACCGGACUUGCUGAACAUAGCCGACAAUGAGGACUACUGAGAACUCAAGAACAAUGGCAAUGGGUUUUUGAUCCUACUGCACGUACUGGCUUUGUGGGAGCCUAGGCUGUUUGGAUGCUCACCUUACUAGACCUGGAUGGAGGUCACCAAGAGCUUCCAAGAAUGACUCUUCAGAGAGCCAAGCCUUCCACCAUAACACAUGGUCAGAACCUGAGGUUUUUAUCUGGAGGCCAGAAGAGGGCACCAGACCCUAUUACAGAUGGUUGUGAGCCACCAUGUGGUUGCUGGGAAUUGAACUCAGGACCUUUGGAAGAGCAGGCAAUGCUCUUAACCACUGAGCCAUCUCUCCAGCCCGUCAACCAACCACAGAUGAAAAUAUUAUGGGGGGAAAAAAUCCAAAAUGUUUCCGUAUCAGUUGGAUUUUUUCCAGCCUGUCACAGGACAGCACCAUCUGAGAACAGGAGA